UCUCCGUUGGUGAACCAGCGGAGGGAUCAUUACAGGACUCGCAAGACUCCUUCACCCUGUGAACCUCACUACAAGCACGUUGCUUCGGCGGGUGACCCGGCGGGGGUUUUCCCUCGCCGGGGCGCACAGCCCGCCGGCAGCCUACUAUACUCUGUCUCUUUGCGUUGGCAUCUCGAGAAAAAACAAACAAGUUAAAACUUUCAACAACGGAUCUCUUGGUUCUG
rnacentral:misc_RNA from 1 species